UACAGAGGGUGCAAGCGUUGUUCGGAAUUAUUGGGCGUAAAGCGCGUGUAGGCGGCUUUGCAAGUCGGGUGUGAAAGCCCUCAGCUCAACUGAGGAAGUGCACCCGAAACUGAAUGGCUUGAGUACUAAAGAGGGUCGCGGAAUUCCCGGUGUAGAGGUGAAAUUCGUAGAUAUCGGGAGGAACACCGGUGGCGAAGGCGGCAUCCUGGACCGACAUCGACGCUGAGGCGCGAAAGCUAGGGGAGCAAACGGG
rnacentral:rRNA from 1 species